CUGACCGAUAGUGAACCAGUACCGUGAGGGAAAGGCGAAAAGAACCCCGGCGAGGGGAGUGAAACAGAACCUGAAACCGUGUACGUACAAGCAGUGGGAGCCCCACCACCAAAGCGUUUCGCUUUGCGUGGUGCGCAAAAUGCGUAACGACAGCACGAUUGCGGUUAACGGAGCGUAAGCGACGUUCAACACAAAAAUCAGGCAGUGGAGCGUUUUGGGGUGGGGUGACUGCGUACCUUUUGUAUAAUGGGUCAGCGACUUAUAUUCUGUAGCAAGGUUAACCGCAUAGGGGAGCCGGAGGGAAACCGAGUCUUAAUUGGGCGUUAAGUUGCAGGGUAUAGACCCGAAACCCGGUGAUCUAGCCAUGGGCAGGUUGAAGGUUGGGUAACACUAACUGGAGGACCGAACCGACUAAUGUUGAAAAAUUAGCGGAUGACCUGUGGCUGGGGGUGAAAGGCCAAUCAAACCGGGAGAUAGCUGGUUCUCCCCGAAAGCUAUUUAGGUAGCGCCUCGUGAAUUCAUCUCCGGGGGUAGAGCACUGUUUCGGCCAGGGGGCCAUCCCGGCUUACCAAUCCGAUGCAAACUGCGAAUACCGGAGAAUGUUAUCACGGGAGACACACGGCGGGUGCUAACGUCCGUCGUGAAGAGGGAAACAACCCAGACCGCCAGCUAAGGUCCCAAAGUCAUGGUUAAGUGGGAAACGAUGUGGGAAGGCCCAGACAGCCAGGAUGUUGGCUUAGAAGCAGCCAUCAUUUAAAGAAAGCGUAAUAGCUCACUGGUCGAGUCGGCCUGCGCGGAAGAUGUAACGGGGCUAAACCAU
rnacentral:rRNA from 1 species